rfam:TPA: Bos taurus chromosome 15, whole genome shotgun sequence.
UCCCUGGUGGCUCAGAUGGUAAAGCGUCCGACUACAAUGCGGCAGACCCAGGUUCAAUCCUUGGGUUGGGAA